CAGCACAUCGUAUGGGACUGGGACUCCAAUGGCAAACAUGACUUCAUUGGCGAAUACACCUCAGCAUUCAAGGAGAUGAGAGGAGUGAUGGAAGGGAAACAGGAUCCACCAUGAGUUCAGCUUCAGGACAGCACUCAAUCAAGUCCAUGCAGACAGGAACCAGUUGUCUUUAGGAACUUCCAGAGGAGGCACCACCAUGGGAUUACAAGGUGAGGAAAAAGUGGGGAGAAGCCUGCGUGUAGCUUAUUGCUAAGGGGUUACAUUUCCAGAGGAUCCAACAAAGGAUCCGCUCGGUGUGGAAAACUGUGGAUUUUAGUGAGUUUAGUGUGUGGUGUUGAUGGUGUUCAGUUAUUCUUUGAUGUGUAGUGUCUGGUUUUCUUCUCACCAUUUACUGAGGGCGUCGGUCCUUUUCCCAUUUUGUGUCCUUGGCUCCUUUGUUGUGAAUUAACUGAUGACAUACAAAUGCGUUUAUUUCUGUGCUCUCUAUUCUGUUCCUCUGGCCCAUGUGUCUUUUUUUGUGCCAGUACCACAGUUUUAGUUCUUGUAGCUUCGUAACUUGUGAAGCCAGGGAGGGAGAUCCUUCCAGCUGUGUUCUUUUCUCAGGAUCAUUUGGGCUGUGGAGGGCUCUUUGUUACUUUGUUCUUUCUAUACAAAUGAUAGUUCUAUACAAGUGGUAGGGUUAGUUUUUCUAGAGGUGUUGGUCAGCAGCUCUCUAAAUACCAUUUUUCAUUGGACCUCUACUGCCAGCAUUUUUUAAAAAUGGGACAAGAUCCCCUAUGUCCAGUUUUUCACGGUGCUUUGGCAAAACAAGGGCCUCCCUAGGAAAUACAAGGUUAUUUCUAAUAUCUCUCCUGGUGACGGAACCUCAGCCUGAGGAUCCUCUUGACUUCCUCCCUCCCCCUUCUGACAAUUCACCCAAGACUUCUGAGUCAUCCACCCCCUGGUUCCUUCUGCGCCCUCCAGUUCACCACCACCCUCCUGCUGCCCCUGCCUCCUCCUCACCUCCACCACCUCCAUCUCUUGGCAUGCCUACCCCCCGGGACUAGUCCAAUGCAGACCCAUGGCGGCGUUCAGUACCAGGCUUCUGGAAUCAAUAGGCUAUUCCACCUCCGGGAAGCCCCCAUUGGAGAGGGCAGACUGACUGCUGUAUAUGUAUCCUUUUCAUCCUCAGAUCUCUGUACCUGGAAGGAUCCAUCCAAGGGUUUGAAAGAGGACCCCGAGGGCAUCCUUAAUUUAGUCCAGGGAAUAUUUCACACUCUUUCCCACUUAGGCAGAUGUCCAGACUCUCCUAAACAUCCUAAUCCUGGGGAAGAAAAGGCAGUGAUUAUAACUAAUGCAAGGGAGGAAGCUGGUAAGAGCGAUUCAAAUGAUAUGGGGCUAGCUGGGAAUCUAGGCCAUUCCCAACAUGGACCCUGGACGGGACCAUCGAGAGGAAAACAGUCGGCAGCACCUCACACAUUCAGUGAUUUGAUUCUUAAGGGGAUUCAGUGGGCUGGGAAGAAACCCAUAAAUUGGAGUCGGGUUCAGGGAGCGAUCUAGGGACCAAAAGAAAACUCCUUGGCCUUCCUGGAAUGCGUAAGGGAGUGCCUCCAUGUGUACACGAAUGUAAACCUGGAGUCAGUGGAAAGGCAGGCCAUUCUUAAGUCCCAUUUACCUUCCCAGAGUGCCCCAGACAUUAGGAGAAAAUCAUAGAUGUUGGAGAUAAGGUCCACACACCCACUUCCUAGGAGUGGAGUCAGCAUUUCAGGUGUUCAGGAGCCAGAAUCUGGAGGGAGACGCCAAGACAGACACGUGGAAUGAACUGCCGGUAUUCUGGCUUCACUGAUUCAGGGUCAGUCAACUUCCCAGUGACGAUGGGGCUCCCCUGAAGGGACCCUGUGACAUCAGUGAGUUGCCCCAAGUUUCAAAGAUCACGCCCAUAAUGGAGAGAAGGGCUUAAAGCCAGUCAGUGUACACAGUGAAUUGAGGAGGACCACCAGAAGAGAGAAUGCCCCAGACAUCCCAGAAGGAAGCUAAGGGACUGCGGUGCCCUGGCCCAUCCUCGCUGAUCACACACACAAAAGGACUGGGGGGUCCCAAGGUUGUCCCAGGGGCUCCCUGAAGGAACCUCACCUGACCCUGACUGUGAAGGGUAAAAUAGUUCACUUUCUGGUCGACACAGGGGCAACUUACUCAGUCUUGAACACCUGACAAGCAGAAUAACCAAAGAUAAAUGUGGGAUAAUGGAAGGGAAGCCCCAGGAACCUAAUUUUAAGGAGUCUCUUGAGUGCCAUUUGGAAGGGAGGAUGUUAUCUCACUCUUUAAUGUACCAGAAUGCCUAGUUCCCCUGAUAGGAAAAGACUUACUGUACAAUUUGGGAGCUACAGUUUAUCUCAGAGACAAAAAAACUUACACUCCUAAAGAAACUGGCCACAAAACCAACCUUAGGGAGAUAUGGACCACCUAAAAUAUGCCAUACAGAGAGGGGGAAAUGAAGCUUUACACACUUGUGGGAAUCCAGAACUGCCUUUCCCUCCUGACAUGGUUUUAGAUCCUUUCUCCCCUAAGGAUUGGAUCUAUUCGAGAACCUGAAAAGCUGGAAAUCCACAAGACCAGUGGACAGGACCUUAUCAUAAUCUUGAUUACUCAUUCUGCUUUAAAAUUACAGGGCACAACUCUGAGUCCACGAUACCAGAGUGAGGCCAGCACCUACACCUGAGGAAGGAGUUACUGAGCCACCCACUCAGUACACCUGUGACCUGACACAGACCUUAGGGGACUUUUGAAAAGGACAAAUUUACCAAGAGACGUGGGGGAUAGGCUUAGUCAUUGGCUUCGUCAUUGCUCUUGCCUUACUUGGCUUGUGCUGCUGUGUCAGACAUCUCUGUCCACGCUGGACCCAGGGGAGACUAACACUGAAAGUAGGGUGAGCAGCCAUUAUUGUCUGUUCCUUCUUACCUUCUCUGCUCUCUUACAGCCAUCCACAUGGACUAGGACCUGAAUGUAGUAAUAAAUUUCUCGAAGCUUAUACCCCUGUACAAAAUCUGUCCUGGUGCUGGUCUCUCACCCCCCACCCACAAAGUAAUACCUAUGGAUUAAAGGUAUUAUUACAUUUUACCGCCAAAACGACAACCUCACUGCCACCUUACAUCCUAGGCCUGCUAAAUUUAUCCCUUUUGAAGUUCACACCUCGUCCCUAACACAGCUUCUCUGUUUGGACCCUACCCUCACAAUAACAUCUGUAGCAAAUACAGAGCACUCAUUCUGUAUUGCUGCCACUGCCCCGAUCAGUGGCUCCUACCAAAGGGAGGAACUUGUAGUAACACCCUGGGGCUUCUCUGGACUCUGAUCAGUGCUUCUUCCCUUACCCCACAGCUUAAGGGACCCAGGAUUGACUCCUAUGGAAAUCUCAACCCCUCAGUGCCCUCUGCACCAACGCACACAGGGACAAGAUUAGAGGUGUGUACUUGUUGGAGAGGGAAGAUAGCAAUUUGUCUGGCAUUUAGUAUAUGGCCCUCCUGAGGCCUGGGAGAGAACCAUUAGUCCAGAAUCCUCCCCCCGUGAUCCCAGCUGUGUAGGUAGGCUUCUCUCCCCACACUGCAGGGCAACCCCUCUUGGGCUAGCCACUCAGAGAGGUGGUGGUUCAACUCCUCAGAAAUGCACCAGGCAUGGGCUUCCCCCAGGUAACCUAUUCCUUUGUGGCCUGAGAGUAAACCAGUUGCCCCAUCAGAACAACCCCCAAAUCUUUCUCUUCUCUGGGAUGGGCUCAAGCCUACACCCUGUCUUACAUAAUACCCAGUUUUUAUACAGUGCACACUAGGCUGGCUAAGUCCUAGGAACCUAGAUCUAACCAUUCAUAAUGUCACCCAGCUUUGAGAUAAAAGGGCAGUAGGACUUAAUUCUGGCAGGAGUACGGAUUGCUCUGGUACCGGUGGCCCCCUGGGGAGCUUUCACAUAUCAUGAAACCACGUUACAGAAUCUCUCACAGGCCUUUGAGGACUUGUCUAAAAACAUGGGGUAUGCCUUUCAAGGGCCCUGUAUUUCUGUGGACUCCCUAUCAAAUGUUGUUCCAACAGUACGCUAGCCCUUGACUAUCUCUAGGCUAGGCAAGAGGGAGUCUGCAGUUAUCUGUAAAACCUGCUGCAUGUAUGUCACUACCUCCAUCUAACCAGAUUUAAACAUAAGAGAUACAUGAACAAGCUCUAAGGCUGCAUAGAUCUAACACACAAGGUCCAUCUCCAGGAUCCAUCUGGAUAUGGGCAGACAGCCUCCCCGCUUAACAUGGGUUCUUCCAUUUCUUAGCCUACUAACUGCCUUUAUUCUUCUGCUUGUCUUGGAGCCUUGCCUCCUUAAAUGCCUUGUCACCUUUUUUAGUAAAUGACUUGAAGCCAUCAGACUUCAGAUGAUACUAAGACAAGGCUAUGUGCAGCUGGGACUGCAGCCUGGAGACAAAUCAGACUUAUCUGAGGCUAGUCAGGAACAGUUCUUCUCUAAUCCAGGGAGAAACCACACCCGUGUUCCUCAGGAAGCAGCUUCAGAAGAUAGACCGUCAGUCAGAGGGUCUGGAGAUGAGGAAGGUAUACAAAGAGACCAACAAAAACCAGAUGAACCAGGUGGAAUCAGGGUGAUGAGGAAUCUGACCUCCAACAGGCCCUGAGUCUCAUUCUACAUGGAUUUUACUACAUUAGCUACUAAAUGACACACCUACCAACAGCCAUGACCAGAAGAUGCAGAAAAAGAGGAUAAGGGAGUGGUACCCCAUUUCCAGGAAAGCCCUGCCCCUUCCCUGGUGGAAUAGCUUCAUUCCUCCUCCCUUUGUCUUUUCUCUUUAAAAUCAAAUUCCUCUCACCACCUGGGUGAUAAGUUGAUCUGUGAACUAAGUUGCUGCUUCUUCAUUCUUUGGCCACAGACUAAAACCUGGGCUGCACUGAUCUCAGCUUUAGUUUUGGUUUUUAGCUACAUGAACUAGCCUCUAUUCUAGACUUUCUUUUAAUUCUUGUCCUUAUACCAAUAACAAGCAUUAUUGGAAGUAACCUUCCCCAAAGAAUCUUUGCAGUAUAUUUACUACCCUGAUUUGGUAAAUCAGAAAAGGAAAACAUCUCUUCCUAAGACUCAUGGAAGCAGCUUCAGCUCCCAAAGCUUAAGUUCUACUUACACUAUUCCCUGAAUAACUGCUUGUAGGACAUUCACUUUAAGUGCUGUGUAAACAUUAAAAAAUGACGUCGUAGAAACUGAUAUUACUACAUACUUUGUGCAUUAUAUGCCCUUCCACAUAUAAGUUAGUACAUACGCUUUAUCUUAUAUAAUAUAUGCUCAUAUAAUCACAUUCUCAAUCCCAUGUGUAUAAGCAUGUACAUCAGCCUAUUGAUAUUAUAGGACACGUUAAACAGUUCAAUCCAUAUUAGAUUCCAGUCCCUAUGGAAUAUUCAUGGGUAAUUGAAGUGAUACUAUAUAGGAUACCACAUGUUUAUUCAUUGUACAUGCCACAUUAUGUCCAAUCAUUUCCAGUACAACACGGUUAUCCUAACCAAUAACCAGAGCUUAGUCAAAAAGCCUUGAUAAACCAUCAGCCUACCCACAAAUGUGCCUCUCUCCACAUUUUGGAUCCAAGAACCAGGGGGGUUGCUUUUGGGGGUGGCCACACCCACAGCAUAUGUGAGUUCUUGGGCCAAGUAUCUAAUCUGAGUUGCAGCUGCAACCUACAUAACAGCCAUGGUAAUGCCUGAUCCAAACCCAUUGUGUCGGGCUAGGGAUCAAACCUACACCUCAGCAAUAAGCCAAGCUGCCGCAGAGACAGUGCUGGGUACUUAACCUGCCAUGCCACAGCAGGAACUCCCAUGGGGAUUUCUAUAAACAAUAUCUGGCAUCUGGUUCUUUACGGCCAUCUCAGGUAAAGUUGCCCACUCUCUCCCCUUAAAUAAGACAUCUUAGUGGACUGUCAAAUCAGCUUAUGCUAACACACAACUGGUUUCAUGCAUUUGGUAUUUUUUUUUUUAAUUUAGGGGGAUGCUGUGGUCAUCAGAGGCCUUAACACAGCCAAGCAACUUAUAGCUGAGCUUAAAUUGAAUAUUAUUUGCCAACAUAAUUAACUAUAAUAUGUUAAUCAAGACAAUGAUCACAGAACAUAGAGCAUUUACAUACAUACACACACACAUGUAUACCAGGUAAAAGAGCGCCUUAACCAAAUCCUCCUACCUCCCACUAAAUCUUUAUACUUUGCAUGCCAUUAUUGCCCUGCCAAACUCCCCAGAUAAGGUAAAGCAUAUAACAACAUGAGUCAGCUACUCAUCUAAUAAACAUAUUGUCCCUACUUUACCAACCCAAAGUUAAUGUAACUACAAACUAGCCUCCUAAUAAUACCCAUCAAUGACUUAGAUAUCUGAGUCUUACAGAGAAAGACAUCCCCCUUGAUCUCUGCCAUUUACAUCAAGUAAAUACAUUUCAUAAUCUCCAAAGAAAAAAUAUUUAACAUUUCAGUACUAAUUUUAACACAAUCCAAACUACUAUAAUGAAUACCAAUAUAUCACAUAAAACUUAUGCAUACACAGUCCAACUCAACCUGUUGAUGUAGCUUCACAAAGUGAAGCACUGUAAAUGCCUUGAUGAAUUUACUAACUCCAUAAACACAUAGGUAUGGCCCCAGACUACUAAAGUCUAAUAAAAUUACACAUGCAGUCUAUCCAGAGAAAACCAUGACUUGAGAAGACACAGGUACUCCAGUGUUCAUUGCAGCACUAUUCACAAUAGCCAAGACAUGGAAACAACCUAAAUGUCCAUCAACAGAGGAGUGGAUAAAGGAGAUGUGAUACACAAUGGAAUAUUACUCAGCCAUUAAAAGGAAAGAAAGAAUAGCAUUUUUAGCAACAUGGAUAGACCCAGAAAUUACAAUGUUAAGUGAAGUUGGUCAGACAAUGAGACACCAACAUCAAAUGCUAUCACUGACAUGUGGAAUCCAAAAAAAGGAUACAGUGAACUUGUUUGCAGAACAGAUACUGACUCACAGACUUUGAAAAACUUAUGGUUUCCAAAGGAUACAGGUUGGGGCCUGGGGGUUUGGGAUGGAAAUGCUAUAAAAUUAGGUUAUGAUGAUGAUUGUACAACUAUAAAUACAUUUUUUAAAAAACCACCAAACUUAAAUAUGCUAAUGAUAUUAAAGGUCUGUAUAUUUCUAUUCUUUGAAAAAAAAAUUACACAUGCAAGUAUCUGAUCAUUGAGAAUGGCCCUGUAAAAUCAUAAAAAAAAUUAAAAGAAGCAGGCAUCAAGCACCCUAAAAAGUAGUUACAAUGCUUUGCUUAACUUUGCCCGCAUGGGAAAUGGUAAUGAUAAAAAGCCAUAAAAGAAAGUUUGAGCAAGUUGCAUUAAUUAGGGUUGGUAAAUUUUUUAUCCACCUUGUCAUAAGAUUAACCCAUAUCAAUAGAAAUCCAGCAUGGCAUGUUAAAGAUUACCUCCAAAUAUUAAGUCUUGGCUAAGCUGCACAAAGCUAUAGCUAAAAUAAAAAUAAGCCGUGAAAGUGACUAAUAUAUUGGAGUUCCCAUUGUGGCUCAGCAGAAACGAAUCUGACUAGCAUCCAUGAGGACUCAGGUUCGAUCCCUGGCCUCACUCAGUGGGUUAAAGAUCUGGCAUGGCCAUGAGCUGUGGUGUAGGUCGCAGACACAGCUCGGAUCUGGCUUUGCUGUGGCUGUGAUGUAGGCCAGUAGCUAUAGCUCCGAUUCGAGCCCUAGCCUGGGAACCUCCAUAUGCC
rnacentral:lncRNA from 1 species